UUUAAUUAACAACCAAAUUAAUUUACUCUAAACCCCCUACAAGUAAAUGUAUAUAAACUCUAUGUAACCCAUAAAUUACUGAAUCAACUUUAAACUUUGAACUUUAGGAUUUCAGUGCAUUGGAGCGAGUGCUUUGCUUCAACUAGUUGGAGAUUAAAAAAUAGGUGUGUAAUCACUUGGGAAUAAACAAGUUGUAUUGACUCGGUAUAAAGUAGACCAUACUAAUUUAAAUGAUCCAUAAGUAUCGUAAUCAACUUUUUUUUUGUAACAAAUUUAAUUAUUCUAAUAAAUUAAACAAGCAAAUUAGUUUUUGCAUAUAAAUGCAUAUAGAAAUGUGCAUAUGCAUAUACACUAUACAUAUUCAAUAAAUUAUUCAAUAGACUUUAAACUUAGAACUUUUGGAUUCAUGUACUUUGGAGCUGAAUAACAAUUAGGAACUGAUGAACUGUGACUAGCUGGAACUAUGUGUCUGUUUUUCAUUCAGUCCAUUUGGGAAUUUUGUAUUUAGUCUCCUUAUCCAUUGUUCUUCCAAAUUUCUUCUUUCCUGUGUGGACCAGUUCAGGUUGUGGACUAUGGGUACAUGUUGUUGCUCUGUCUGGUGCAUGUCGUCGGAAGUGUGAGACCAGAUGAGUUUGUCUUUUUCCGGUGUGUGAUGUUAUAUCUGUGUGAGUUCAGCCGUGUCUUGACUGACGUACUGGUUUCUCUCAGGUUCUGCAUCCCGCAUGUUUCGCAUGUGAUGAGAAUAUUUGGAGGAUGUGGUUACUUGUGGGAUCAUCGUGUUUUCCAAGCUCACAGAAUUUGAGUCACUACAUGAUCUGUGUUAUUCAUCUCCCCGUUCCUGGGUCAUGGAGAACCUGGAGCCUAUCACAGGGAGCAUCAGGCACAUGGUGGAGUACACCCUGGACAGGGUGCCAGUUCAUGCGGCGUUGUGCUGGAUGGAGCUUGACUGGCCUCGUGUGUCCAAACUUGGGAACGACAAUUUCCCAGGCCCCGUAGGGAACACAUGAAGUUACCUAGGAGCAGUGAUGAGAAUGAACUGCUCAAGACGUUGCAUCACGUGCGCUGGCGCAUUACGCUUGAUUUGGCGACUUUUCUGAAACAAACAAGCAAUGCACAUACCACACCAAGCUGCUGAAAAAAUAAACAUUUCACAUGAAAUCUGUCUGGUGAGCACAAAGAAACACAUUCUGUAAAGUUCAAUAAUUGUUUGUUAUUUAAAUACAUAUUUUGUGGUGUAAACCAUUUAUAUUAAUGUCAUAGUAACUCACAUUACAUGGACCUGUUGGCUGUCUGGAUGGAACAUUUUACCCUUUUAAUAUAUAACCUUACACAGUGAAAAUUAAUGAAUUUUCUCUGACUCUUUUUUUUAAAACGUUUGUAAUGCUACAGUUUAGCAGUCUGUUGUGAUGUGGCGAGGCGAAUUUCUUGUUAAAACGAGAUAUCGUACUGGUUAUUGGUUCCGUUCAGUGUGAGUAAGUUUUGAAUAUGCAUUAAAAUGUACACUUGCCGCUUUUGUAGUUUAGCAGUGAAAAGUCUGAGGGAAUAUGUUCUCUACUGCAGACUGCAUCGCAACGGACCAUUUUCAAAUGUGUUGCAGUUGAUUGCAAACCCUCAGAUUUUAAUCCAUGCACUCAGAUUUGUAAUCCGGGCGCACCACGUUAAA